CAGCCGUAAACUAUGCGCGUUAGGUGUAUCGGUGACCACGAGUUACCGAGGUGCCGAAGGGAAACCGUGAAACGUGCCGCCUGGGAAGUACGGUCGCAAGGCUGAAACUUAAAGGAAUUGGCGGGGGAGCACCACAACAGGUGGAGCCUGCGGUUUAAUUGGACUCAACGCCGGGAAGCUCACCGGAUAAGACAGCGGAAUGAUUGCCGGGCUGAAGACCCUGCAUGACUAGCUGAGAGAAGGUGCAUGGCGUAGACGUCU
rnacentral:rRNA from 1 species